rnacentral:rRNA from 1 species
CGUCCUACGGGAGAAAGCAGGGGACCUUCGGGCCUUGCGCUAUCAGAUGAGCCUAGGUCGGAUUAGCUAGUUGGUGAGGUAAUGGCUCACCAAGGCGACGAUCCGUAACUGGUCUGAGAGGAUGAUCAGUCACACUGGAACUGAGACACGGUCCAGACUCCUACGGGAGGCAGCAGUGGGGAAUAUUGGACAAUGGGCGAAAGCCUGAUCCAGCCAUGCCGCGUGUGUGAAGAAGGUCUUCGGAUUGUAAAGCACUUUAAGUUGGGAGGAAGGGUUGUAGAUUAAUACUCUGCAAUUUUGACGUUACCGACAGAAUAAGCACCGGCUAACUCUGUGCCAGCAGCCGCGGUAAUACAGAGGGUGCAAGCGUUAAUCGGAAUUACUGGGCGUAAAGCGCGCGUAGGUGGUUCGUUAAGUUGGAUGUGAAAUCCCCGGGCUCAACCUGGGAACUGCAUCCAAAACUGGCGAGCUAGAGUAUGGUAGAGGGUGGGUGGGAAUUUCCUGUGUAGCG